rnacentral:rRNA from 1 species
GACGAACCGUGCGAACGUUGUUCGGAUUCACUGGGCUUAAAGGGCGCGUAGGCGGGCUGGCAAGUCAGGGGUGAAAUCCUCCGGCUCAACCGGAGAACAGCCUUUGAUACUGCCAGUCUAGAGAAAGGUAGGGGCAUGUGGAACUUCCGGUGGAGCGGUGAAAUGCGUAGAUAUCGAGAGGAACACCUGCGGCGAAGGCGGGUUGCUGGGCUGACACUGACGCUGAUGCGCGAAAGCCAGGGGAGCGAACGGG